rfam:Brassica oleracea var. oleracea cultivar TO1000 chromosome C3, whole genome shotgun sequence
UCCGUUGUAGUCUAGCUGAUCAGGAUACUCGGCUCUCACCCGAGAGGCCCGGGUUCGAAUACCGGCAUCGGAG